rnacentral:sRNA from 1 species
UCGUUCAUUGUACCGUCGUCUGCAAUUCCUGGUACUCCCUUCAAUCCAAAUCCCUAGCUUCUUUUUUCUCA